AAUGCUCGAUUGGGUUUUUUUUUUUGGACUGAACGCAAAAAGAAGAACACCAUUUGAAAGAGACGAAAACUAUGGCGCAUGAAUAGCAUUCUGGAAAAACACUCGAAUGCAACGCUCUAAUAAAAUAAAGGUGUAUUGAGAUGACCAAGCUCUCUCUACGAAAGAAUCGGCAGUGCCUCUCCUUCUCUCUCAGCCUCACUUUCAAGCAAUCGGAAGCUCACUCGCUCAGUCCUCUCACCAGCAUCGCUGUUUAAUUUGAAGCAGCGGAAAAGGAUCCUCUUGCUUUCAAUCUCCCUUCUUCUACAAUUCAAAUUUAGGCUCGAAGUAGCUCUUGCCUAGGUCAGAAUUUGGAAAUUUUGUUCAAAUUCUCAGGACUUUCUUCUUGAUUGAUUUUGUGUGUGAUUGCUUUCAUGGGUUGUGUUUUUCAUGAUGGUCCCCUUUCUUUGGUCUUCAAUUGGCUACGAUUCGGGUUUAUGCUUCAAAUAGGGUACGUUCCCUUUUUCUGACUUAAUUUUGAUAAAAAUCUUUGUUGGAAUUGAUAAAUUUUCCUUGGGACUGUUUGCAACGGUUGUGGUAUUUCUCUUUUUAUUGACUCUUUGUUUCGUUAGUUGAGUUUGAUACAAAUGUCGCCCCGUAUGUCUAAGCCUCGUGCACCAAAACCUUCCAAGCCCACCCGCACGUCAAAGUCUUCCAAGUCCACCCACGCUGAUAAAUCUCAAACAGACAUCUCUUUUUGUUCAGUUUUCCUUAGUGGCACUUAGAUGCUGGUUACUCAUCCAUUUUAAAUCUUGUAUAUUGCAGGAUACUCUUCCGUUUUGUCAAAGCUACGACUUGCGUGGUUCUUCUCUACAAUCGUAUUGUCUACUUUGCUUGUGACGGUCGGGCAUUGCCCAUCUUCAAUUGUCAAAGAGAGAACUAGUAACAAUGAUCUCAUAUUGCUGAAACUGAAGUCGGACAGAUAGAACUAGUAGCUUGCUUAGAUAGGAAGAAUCGCAUAGAUAGGAAAAAUCGUGUAAUGAUGCUUGUUGCAGCAACAUGAAUCUGCAUUUUCUUUUAAUUUUAACUUGAUAGGAACUUAACAAUCUUGCUCUAGAAUUAAUGAUAUAUUUUGUGCUCUACAUGGACACACACACA